ACUUUCAACAACGGAUCUCUUGGUUCUCGCAUCGAUGAAGAGCGCAGCGAAAUGCGAUACCUAGUGUGAAUUGCAGCCAUCGUGAAUCAUCGAGUUCUUGAACGCACAUUGCGCCCGUCGGUAUUCCGGCGGGCAUGCCUGUCUGAGCGUCGU
rnacentral:rRNA from 1 species